rnacentral:sRNA from 1 species
AAUAAAAAAAGGAAAAAAAAAAAGGAAAAAAA